UAAAGCCAGAUCAUUAUCCAUUUAUUAUUUUUUGCUUUUUCCAAUUAUUAUAAAAUUUUUCAACAUAAUAAAAAACUAUAUAAAAUGGGAUAAAAAAAAUGUUUUAUUUUUUAAAACUUUUAUUAUAUUCUUAUGUUAUAUGAUGAAAGAGCACAGCGAUUUGUUAAACGAAGAAACGAAAGAUGUAUAUUUUACUUUCAUAUUUAAUUAUUUAAUUAUAAUCGAAUUUGGUAUGAAUAGAGACAUAGAAAAAGAAGGUUAUGAUGAUGAUUACAAAAAUGAUUUGUUAGGACAUUCAAAUAAAAUUAGAUUAGAACAAAAUGGAGAUAAAAUGAUACAAAGCGAAAGUUAUAAUGUGCGUACUAAGAAAGAUAGUAAUGUGCAAACAAAAAAUAAGCAUCUGUUAAAUACUGAUAUUGUUGGUGGUGAUGAUAUAAAAAAAGGAAAUGAAAUAAAUAGCAAAAAUAGUGGCGAAAAUAAUAGCAAAAAUAAUGGCGAAAUAAAUAGCAAAAAUAAUGGCGAAAUAAAUAGCAAAAAUAAUGGAGAAAUAAAUAGCAAAAAUAAUAGAGAAAAGAAAAAAGAGAGCAUUUUUUUCAAAGUCCAACUAAAUUAUUUAAUAAAAUAUAUAAUAACAGCACAUAUAAAUGAAAAUAAUUUACACAGUAUUUUAGAAUUUUUAUCAGUCAUACAUAACACCAUAUUAGAUCGCGAGAAUGUAAACUUAGAAACGAAUACUUUGUGUGUAAUAUAUUCAUUAAAUGUGUUUAAAAAAGGAAAGAAUGAGAAAAAGGGAAAGGACGGGAAAAAGGGAACGAACGGGAAAAAGGGAACGAACGGGACAAAAAAAACGAACGGGACGAAGGGAAAGAAGAAAUGUAAGAAAAAGGAAAUGCUGAACGAAACUAUUUAUUAUGACCAGCUUUGGAAAUCCCUCUUAAACUGCUACAACACUUUAGAAAAAAUAAACGAUAGCGAAUUAAAAGAAAAAAUAAAAAUAUUAUUACAAAAAACUUUUUUACAAAAAAUG
rnacentral:lncRNA from 1 species